CACAGCUCAACUGGUGGAUCAAUCAACAUUGACUUGCUUCUAGCGGCAGGGUAGAGAGUUCGAUUCCUGGUGGGAACCUGCGUCCAAAAAUUUGGUAUGGAGCAAUCACUGUAGAGAAAUGUUUCUUGUGCGCAGAAGUGUACAGUCAAUGGGGGAACCUGUGAUCCAGUUGAGGUAUAACCCGCGAUUUACCUCCUCCAAGGUUCUAGGGGCAUGGAUUUUGGAGGUCCAGGAUUUAGUUGGGUGAGAGCAAAUCUCAAUCCCACCGCUCAAGCUCUCAUCGUUUCCACAGGUUACUUUUUUACAUUGAAAUUUGUUCAGUUUUAAUUUACAGUAAGUAAUAUUUAUUUUGAUUUAAAUAACAGUGGCUGGAAUGGCAUAUUUCAUUGUGGCUGACAAGACUGUUCUGGCUACUGCACGUCGAAAUUCCUACAACCAGUCACAACUAAAUUGAACUAUAAUUUCUAUAAGUUUUGUUUUUCGCAAUCAGUUAUGUAAUAUUUAUCCACCUUUUACCGCUUUUAAUAUUAAAUAAAAUUUGCUUUCUU
rnacentral:lncRNA from 1 species